ACACAGGAAAAUGGAGAGAGUAAUUUUUCCAGAGUUAACAUUAUUUUCCUCUAAAAGAGUAAUUUUUACUCAUUUUGGAUUGUAAUCAUUUCGAUUGGCCUCCAGAGUUGGCGCAAAAGAACAGAGGAAAUUCCAUUGGAGUAAUAUGGCAUGACCACGCCCACUAUCCCGCAGUGGAACAGAGACAACUGUCAGUGGUGAGCCAGGAUGCAAGCUGUGCGUGUGAAGUGCAGAGAACAACAGAAGUACAUCAGUUUUGAGGGCCAACUGACCUACAGAUCAUUUUUGGAAUGCGUUGCCAAGAAGUUCAACAUCCUGAACAUAUCACUUCUCUAAGAUACUUGAUCCAAUUGUGAAGAAUAUGAAAAUCCUGGAGGGGAUGGAAUUACAAUUGCCCUGCAUGAUGACCCAGUACAUGGAACUAUUGUCCAAGUUACUACUGACAACUUUGGUCUUCACUGUCUGUUUGGUUUUCUAGAGUCAUUUAGUGCCAGAUAUUGUUGCAACUUUUGUCUUGCUGAGAAAGAGGACUUUCAGAAAGAGUUUACAGAGGAUUCACCCAAGAUAAUCAUGCGAACUCAAGCACUUCAUACUGAACAUUGCCAAAAAAUGGAGGCAAAUCCCAGACUGCCUUAUGUGAUGGGUGUUAAACAGUCUUGGAUUCUAAACUCAUUGCAGUACUUCAAUACAUGUGAAAAUUUCUCUGUUGAUAUUAUGCACGAUAUCUUGGAGGGAGUCGCACAAUAUGAAAUGAAACUGAUUAUGUUACAUGCAAUAGAUCAGUAUACAACAUCAAAGGAAGUGGACAUGAGAAUUAAGAGCUUAAACUGUGGCUAAAUGGAACAAAACGACAAACCACCUACAGUGAAGUUGGGAGAGGACUCAAAUGACUUGGAGUUAAAUGCCAUCCAGUCCUGGUGUUUACAUCGGCAUCUACCACUCAUCUUUGGAGACUUAGUUUGUCCAAACGAUCAGCACUGGUAUUUGCUACUGCUGUUGUUUCAAAUAGUGAAUAUUGUAUUUUCAGCAGUGUUAUAUAAAAGGUAUCUCCAUUUUCUUGAAACACCUGAUCGCCAAACGCCACAGGUUAUCCAAGGGUUUAUUUCCACACAAGAAGCUGCUACCAAAGCAUCAUUUCGUGAUGCAUUAUCCUACAUGUAUACUUAAAACACGACCACUUUUGCAUAGCUGGUGCAUACGCAAUGAAGCAAAACACAGCUUCUUUAAAAAAAACAAUUGAAAAGUUUCAAAAA